rnacentral:rRNA from 1 species
CCCUUAGAUGUUCUGGGCCGCACGCGCGCUACACUGAUGCAUUCAACGAGCCUAUCCUUGACCGACAGGUCCGGGUAAUCUUUGAAUCUGCAUCGUGACGGGGAUAGAUUAUUGCAAUUAUUAAUCUUCAACGAGGAAUGCCUAGUAGGCGCAAGUCAUCAGCUUGCGUCGAUUACGUCCCUGCCCUUUGUACACACCGCCCGUCGCUCCUACCGAUGGGUGAUCCGGUGAAUGAUUCGGACUCGGUUGCCUCUAGCCACUAGUGGCGCUCGAGAAAGUUUUGUGAACCUUAUCACUUGGAGGAAGGAGAAGUCGUAACA